rnacentral:rRNA from 1 species
UACAGAGGUCCCAAGCGUUGUUCGGAUUCACUGGGCGUAAAGGGUGCGUAGGUGGCGAGGAAAGUCUGAUGUGAAAUCUCCGGGCUUAACCCGGAAAUGGCAUUGGAAACUACCUUGCUUGAGGAUUGGAGGGGGACUGGAAUACUUGGUGUAGCAGUGAAAUGCGUAGAUAUCAAGUGGAACACCAGUGGCGAAGGCGAGUCCCUGGACAACUCCUGACACUGAGGCACGAAAGCGUGGGGAGCAAACAGG